GGUUAAGCGACUAAGCGUACACGGUGGAUGCCCUGGCAGUCAGAGGCGAUGAAGGACGUGCUAAUCUGCGAUAAGCGUCGGUAAGGUGAUAUGAACCGUUAUAACCGGCGAUUUCCGAAUGGGGAAACCCAGUGUGAUUCGUCACACUAUCAUUAACUGAAUCCAUAGGUUAAUGAGGCGAACCGGGGGAACUGAAACAUCUAAGUACCCCGAGGAAAAGAAAUCAACCGAGAUUCCCCCAGUAGCGGCGAGCGAACGGGGAGCAGCCCAGAGCCUGAAUCAGUGUGUGUGUUAGUGGAAGCGUCUGGAAAGGCGCGCGAUACAGGGUGACAGCCCCGUACACAAAAAUGCACAUGCUGUGAGCUCGAUGAGUAGGGCGGGACACGUGGUAUCCUGUCUGAAUAUGGGGGGACCAUCCUCCAAGGCUAAAUACUCCUGACUGACCGAUAGUGAACCAGUACCGUGAGGGAAAGGCGAAAAGAACCCCGGCGAGGGGAGUGAAAAAGAACCUGAAACCGUGUACGUACAAGCAGUGGGAGCACAGAGCAAUCUGUGUGACUGCGUACCUUUUGUAUAAUGGGUCAGCGACUUAUAUUCUGUAGCAAGGUUAACCGAAUAGGGGAGCCGAAGGGAAACCGAGUCUUAACUGGGCGUUAAGUUGCAGGGUAUAGACCCGAAACCCGGUGAUCUAGCCAUGGGCAGGUUGAAGGUUGGGUAACACUAACUGGAGGACCGAACCGACUAAUGUUGAAAAAUUAGCGGAUGACUUGUGGCUGGGGGUGAAAGGCCAAUCAAACCGGGAGAUAGCUGGUUCUCCCCGAAAGCUAUUUAGGUAGCGCCUCGUGAAUUCAUCUCCGGGGGUAGAGCACUGUUUCGGCAAGGGGGUCAUCCCGACUUACCAACCCGAUGCAAACUGCGAAUACCGGAGAAUGUUAUCACGGGAGACACACGGCGGGUGCUAACGUCCGUCGUGAAGAGGGAAACAACCCAGACCGCCAGCUAAGGUCCCAAAGUCAUGGUUAAGUGGGAAACGAUGUGGGAAGGCCCAGACAGCCAGGAUGUUGGCUUAGAAGCAGCCAUCAUUUAAAGAAAGCGUAAUAGCUCACUGGUCGAGUCGGCCUGCGCGGAAGAUGUAACGGGGCUAAACCAUGCACCGAAGCUGCGGCAGCGACGCUUAUGCGUUGUUGGGUAGGGGAGCGUUCUGUAAGCCUGCGAAGGUGUGCUGUGAGGCAUGCUGGAGGUAUCAGAAGUGCGAAUGCUGACAUAAGUAACGAUAAAGCGGGUGAAAAGCCCGCUCGCCGGAAGACCAAGGGUUCCUGUCCAACGUUAAUCGGGGCAGGGUGAGUCGACCCCUAAGGCGAGGCCGAAAGGCGUAGUCGAUGGGAAACAGGUUAAUAUUCCUGUACUUGGUGUUACUGCGAAGGGGGGACGGAGAAGGCUAUGUUGGCCGGGCGACGGUUGUCCCGGUUUAAGCGUGUAGGCUGGUUUUCCAGGCAAAUCCGGAAAAUCAAGGCUGAGGCGUGAUGACGAGGCACUACGGUGCUGAAGCAACAAAUGCCCUGCUUCCAGGAAAAGCCUCUAAGCAUCAGGUAACAUCAAAUCGUACCCCAAACCGACACAGGUGGUCAGGUAGAGAAUACCAAGGCGCUUGAGAGAACUCGGGUGAAGGAACUAGGCAAAAUGGUGCCGUAACUUCGGGAGAAGGCACGCUGAUAUGUAGGUGAAGUCCCUCGCGGAUGGAGCUGAAAUCAGUCGAAGAUACCAGCUGGCUGCAACUGUUUAUUAAAAACACAGCACUGUGCAAACACGAAAGUGGACGUAUACGGUGUGACGCCUGCCCGGUGCCGGAAGGUUAAUUGAUGGGGUCAGCGCAAGCGAAGCUCUUGAUCGAAGCCCCGGUAAACGGCGGCCGUAACUAUAACGGUCCUAAGGUAGCGAAAUUCCUUGUCGGGUAAGUUCCGACCUGCACGAAUGGCGUAAUGAUGGCCAGGCUGUCUCCACCCGAGACUCAGUGAAAUUGAACUCGCUGUGAAGAUGCAGUGUACCCGCGGCAAGACGGAAAGACCCCGUGAACCUUUACUAUAGCUUGACACUGAACAUUGAGCCUUGAUGUGUAGGAUAGGUGGGAGGCUUUGAAGUGUGGACGCCAGUCUGCAUGGAGCCGACCUUGAAAUACCACCCUUUAAUGUUUGAUGUUCUAACGUUGACCCGUGAUCCGGGUUGCGGACAGUGUCUGGUGGGUAGUUUGACUGGGGCGGUCUCCUCCUAAAGAGUAACGGAGGAGCACGAAGGUUGGCUAAUCCUGGUCGGACAUCAGGAGGUUAGUGCAAUGGCAUAAGCCAGCUUGACUGCGAGCGUGACGGCGCGAGCAGGUGCGAAAGCAGGUCAUAGUGAUCCGGUGGUUCUGAAUGGAAGGGCCAUCGCUCAACGGAUAAAAGGUACUCCGGGGAUAACAGGCUGAUACCGCCCAAGAGUUCAUAUCGACGGCGGUGUUUGGCACCUCGAUGUCGGCUCAUCACAUCCUGGGGCUGAAGUAGGUCCCAAGGGUAUGGCUGUUCGCCAUUUAAAGUGGUACGCGAGCUGGGUUUAGAACGUCGUGAGACAGUUCGGUCCCUAUCUGCCGUGGGCGCUGGAGAACUGAGGGGGGCUGCUCCUAGUACGAGAGGACCGGAGUGGACGCAUCACUGGUGUUCGGGUUGUCAUGCCAAUGGCACUGCCCGGUAGCUAAAUGCGGAAGAGAUAAGUGCUGAAAGCAUCUAAGCACGAAACUUGCCCCGAGAUGAGUUCUCCCUGACCCUUUAAGGGUCCUGAAGGAACGUUGAAGACGACGACGUUGAUAGGCCGGGUGUGUAAGCGCAGCGAUGCGUUGAGCUAACCGGUACUAAUGAACCGUGAGGCUUAACCUU
rnacentral:rRNA from 1 species